AAAUAAAAAAAAAUUAAAACAUACAUGAGAUACAAUUUAGAACAUAAAUAAUAUAAAACACAAAUGUUUUAAAUUUAAUUUCUGGAAUAUUUUGUCCAUAUAUGCUCGACCAAAUCAUUCUUCAAUUGUUGAUGCAUACCGCGAUCACGAACUCGAGCUCUAUUAUCGAAGAAAUUAGAAGGCAUAUAUGUAGAAUAUGUGAAUUCUAACCAUUAUCAAUCAACGAACGAAGCAUCAUCGAUCAUCGACUUGUUAUUACCAUUGUUAGUCAUAAUCAAUAUCGAAUCUGUUCACGAGAAACAAAAUCCAAAUUAUUAUACUAACAAAAUAUCAGAAAUUAAAAUUCACUAUAUUAUGCAAUAAUAAAUAAAUUAAACUGCAUAAAACCCAGAAUGUGAAUAAACCCAGUAAUAAUAGAUCGAGUUCUAAGCUUUAUCAAUGGACAAAAAAGCAUGAAUCAAUAACAACGUGAUUUUUCAAUACGAUUAACAAAACCACCAAAACCAAUGCCUUUGACUACACAAGUCGAUGAUAAAACAAAGAUGAUCGUUUUUUUUUUUUUUUUCAAUUUUUUGUUUCCACCACGAGUCUAUGAAAGACUCAAUAAAACAAAUAUCAAAUCCAAUUAUCAGAAUAAUCCACACAAGCAAAAAACCAUGACAAUUAGAUUGAAACAAAUUAAUUCAAAAGAUCCCUGCAAAUUAGAAAAAAUGCAGAAAAAGAACUAAUCAACCCAGAUAUGCAGCCAAAUUAAAAAUCGACAGCCUCCAAUCCUCCAUGGUUCGCGUGAAAAAGAGAGAGAGAGGGGAGGAGAAGAGAGAGAGGGAAAAGAGUAGAAUAAAAGCUUGACACGUGUAUGUCUCUUAUGUGAAUAAAAGCCUCUUAAGGAACGUUGCUUAGUGUUAAAGGAGAAAAU
rnacentral:lncRNA from 1 species